GGUUGGAGUAGCUCAGUUGGUAGAACAUGAGACUCUUAAUCUCAGUGUCCUGGGUUCAAGAUUCCUGCAUUGUCG